GACUACGCAGCACGUUGCGCUGGGAUCUGUCGCGCUGCGAGCGUUCUUCCCGCCGCCCACCUUGUGACGCCAGUGUAAUAAUUUUUAAAGGGAAAUGUUAGUGUGUAUUAGGAGGAACACGAGUGUCCCAGAGGAGGCGGGCUUUGAGUCGAGUAAGCAGCUAAGAAGAGAAUUUCCAGGCAAGGGAUGGACGAACAUGAACAAAGACAACAGCGGAGAUGGACAUGGUUUGCACAGGGACACCUGAGUGGUUGUCCGCUAAAUGUCCGACUGUCAGUUUCAGCCCAGGUCAUGACCUCACGGUUCCUGAGUUCGAGCCCCACGUUGGGCUCUGUGCUGACAGCG